rnacentral:miRNA from 1 species
AUUAGGCCUGAUAGUAUAAGC